rnacentral:rRNA from 1 species
UACGAAGGGGGCUAGCGUUGCUCGGAAUCACUGGGCGUAAAGGGUGCGUAGGCGGGUCUUUAAGUCAGGGGUGAAAUCCUGGAGCUCAACUCCAGAACUGCCUUUGAUACUGAAGAUCUUGAGUUCGGGAGAGGUGAGUGGAACUGCGAGUGUAGAGGUGAGAUUCGUAGAUAUUCGCAAGAACACCCGUGGCGAAGGCGGCUCUCUGGAACGGUACUGACGCUGAGACGCGAAAGCGUGGGGAGCGAACAGG